AAUAAGGUGGCUGAGAUUAUAGGCGGUAGAUUGUAAAUCUAUUAACAAGUUAAUUACUUUCUUAUUG
rnacentral:tRNA from 1 species